rnacentral:rRNA from 1 species
UACACACCGCCCGCCACACCAUGGGAGUGGGUUGCACCAGAAGUAGCUAGUCUAACCUUCGGGAGGACGGUUACCACGGUGUGAUUCAUGACUGGGGUG